rnacentral:rRNA from 1 species
UACGUAGGGCGCAAGCGUUGUCCGGAAUUAUUGGGCGUAAAGAGCUCGUAGGCGGUCUGUUACGUCCGCUGUGAAAACCCAGGGCUUAACCCUGGGCUUGCAGUGGAUGCGGGUAGACUAGAGGCAGGUAGGGGAGAAUGGAAUUCCCGGUGUAGCAGUGAAAUGCGUAGAGAUCGGGAGGAACACCAGUGGCGAAGGCGGCUACCUGGACCAGCACUGACACUGAAGCACGAAAGCGUGGGGAGCAAACAGG